AACAAGUCGAGCGAAUCGAUGGGAGCUUGCUCCCUGAGAUUAGCGGCGGACGGGUGAGUAACACGUGGGCAACCUGCCUAUAAGACUGGGAUAACUUCGGGAAACCGGAGCUAAUACCGGAUACGUUCUUUUCUCGCAUGAGAGAAGAUGGAAAGACGGUUUACGCUGUCACUUAUAGAUGGGCCCGCGGCGCAUUAGCUAGUUGGUGAGGUAAUGGCUCACCAAGGCGACGAUGCGUAGCCGACCUGAGAGGGUGAUCGGCCACACUGGGACUGAGACACGGCCCAGACUCCUACGGGAGGCAGCAGUAGGGAAUCUUCCGCAAUGGACGAAAGUCUGACGGAGCAACGCCGCGUGAACGAAGAAGGCCUUCGGGUCGUAAAGUUCUGUUGUUAGGGAAGAACAAGUACCAGAGUAACUGCUGGUACCUUGACGGUACCUAACCAGAAAGCCACGGCUAACUACGUGCCAGCAGCCGCGGUAAUACGUAGGUGGCAAGCGUUGUCCGGAAUUAUUGGGCGUAAAGCGCGCGCAGGUGGUUCCUUAAGUCUGAUGUGAAAGCCCACGGCUCAACCGUGGAGGGUCAUUGGAAACUGGGGAACUUGAGU
rnacentral:rRNA from 2 species